UACAGAGGUCUCAACCGUUGUUCGGAUUCAUUGGGCGUAAAGAGCGUGUAGGCGGCCAGGUAGGUCUGCUGUGAAAACUCGAGGCUUAACCUCGAGCUGUCGGCGGAAACCAUCUGGCUAGAGUCCGGAAGAGGAGAAUGGAAUUCCCGGUGUAGCGGUGAAAUGCGCAGAUAUCGGGAAGAACACCCGUGGCGAAGGCGGUUCUCUGGGACGGUACUGACGCUGAGACGCGAAAGCGUGGGGAGCGAACAGG
rnacentral:rRNA from 1 species